rnacentral:tRNA from 1 species
GGUCAGAUGGCCGAGCGGUCUAAGGCGCUGGUUUAAGGCACCAGUCUCCUCGGAGGCGUGGGUUCGAAUCCCACUUUGAUCA